GGUGAUAUGAACCGUUAUAACCGGCGAUACCCGAAUGGGGAAACCCAGUGUGAUUCGUCACACUAUCAUUAACUGAAUCCAUAGGUUAAUGAGGCGAACCGGGGGAACUGAAACAUCUAAGUACCCCGAGGAAAAGAAAUCAACCGAGAUUCCCCCAGUAGCGGCGAGCGAACGGGGAGGAGCCCAGAGCCUGAAUCAGCAUGUGUGUUAGUGGAAGCGUCUGGAAAGGCGCGCGAUACAGGGUGACAGCCCCGUACACAAAAGCGCAUGUGCUGUGAGCUCGAUGAGUAGGGCGGGACACGUGGUAUCCUGUCUGAAUAUGGGGGGACCAUCCUCCAAGGCUAAAUACUCCUGACUGACCGAUAGUGAACCAGUACCGUGAGGGAAAGGCGAAAAGAACCCCGGCGAGGGGAGUGAAAAAGAACCUGAAACCGUGUACGUACAAGCAGUGGGAGCACCCUUCGGGGUGUGACUGCGUA
rnacentral:rRNA from 1 species